rnacentral:misc_RNA from 1 species
AAGUUAUUACACAAAGUUGCUUAUUAGGGGUGGAGAAUGCAAGAUCAUUUACUCCACCAACAUGAGCAUCAAUCUCUAAGUGCUGCCUUACAUCAUCACCACCCUGGUAAGAAUAUAUUUGUACAAUGUGCCUUGAGUAUGCAACUCCAAAUAAGGAGCCAUCAGGACUCCAAAUCACACGGUUCACAGACACACCAGGAUCUUUAACUAGAGCUGUCUGCAGAGGCAUUGAACAUGUGCUAAGAUCCCAAACUUUGAAGUUUCUUAACACCAAUCUCUCCCUAGAACCAACUUCCCACAGCCCAACAUCUCCCACAUUGGUACCAACUAGAAG